rnacentral:rRNA from 1 species
AGUGAACGCUGGCGGCAGGCCUAACACAUGCAAGUCGAACGGCAGCACAGGAGAGCUUGCUCUCUGGGUGGCGAGUGGCGGACGGGUGAGGAAUAUAUCGGAAUCUACCCUUUCGUGGGGGAUAACGUAGGGAAACUUACGCUAAUACCGCAUACGAACUGAGGUUGAAAGCGGCGGACCGCAAGGCGUCGCGCGGAUGGAUGAGCCGAUAUCCGAUUAGCUAGUUGGCGGGGUAAAGGCCCACCAAGGCGACGAUCGGUAGCUGGUCUGAGAGGAUGAUCAGCCGCACUGGAACGGAGACACGGUCCAGACUCCUACGGGAGGCAGCAGUGGGGAAUAUAGGACAAUGGGCGCAAGCCUGAUCCAGCCAUGCCGCGUGUGUGAAGAAGGCCUUCGGGUUGUAAAGCACUUUUGUUGGGAAAGAAAAGCGGUCGGUUAAUACCCGGUCGUUCUGACGGUACCCAAAGAAUAAGCACCGGCUAACUUCGUGCCAGCCGCCGCCGUAACAC